rnacentral:rRNA from 1 species
ACAGUGGACGCGAGCAUCUUUGUUGUAAGUGUUUAAGAGCGUACGGUGGAUGCCUUGGCACCAGGAGCCGAUGAAGGACGUAGGAGGCUGCGAUAAGCCUCGGGGAGCUGUCAACCGAGCUGAGAUCCGAGGAUGUCCGAAUGGGGAAACCCAGCCACAGUGAUGUGUGGUUACCCGCGCCUGAAUAUAUAGGGCGUGUGGAGGGAACGUGGGGAAGUGAAACAUCUCAGUACCCACAGGAAGAGAAAACAACAUGUGAUUCCGUGAGUAGUGGCGAGCGAAAGCGGAAGAGGCUAAACCAUGGGUGUGUGAUAGCCGGCGGGCGUUGCAUUCGUGGGGUUGUGGGAUCCGUCUUGUCAAUUCUGCCGGAUUGGCCGACAGUGAGAAAUCAUCGUGUUAGUCGAAGUGGUCUGGAACGGCCUGUCGUAGAGGGUGAGAGUCCCGUAGACGAAAACAUGGUGACUGUCGUGACGGACACCCGAGUAGCAGCGGCCCGUGAAA